rnacentral:misc_RNA from 1 species
CAACGUCAUCCGUACCACCAGCAUGUCAAGCCCUGGUAAGGUUCUUCGCGUUGCAUCGAAUUAAACCACACGCUCCGCCGCUUGUGCGGGCCCCCGUCAAUUCCUUUGAGUUUUAGCCUUGCGGCCGUACUCCCCAGGCGGGAUGCUUAAAGCGUUAGCUACGGCACAGAGGGGGUCGACACCCCCCACACCUAGCAUCCACAGUUUAGGGCGUGGACUAC